rnacentral:rRNA from 1 species
GACGAACGCUGGCGGCGUGCCUAAUACAUGCAAGUUGAGCGAUGAAGAUUGGUGCUUGCACCAAUUUGAAGAGCAGCGAACGGGUGAGUAACGCGUGGGGAAUCUGCCUUUGAGCGGGGGACAACAUUUGGAAACGAAUGCUAAUACCGCAUAACAACUUUAAACAUAAGUUUUAAGUUUGAAAGAUGCAAUUGCAUCACUCAAAGAUGAUCCCGCGUUGUAUUAGCUAGUUGGUGAGGUAAAGGCUCACCAAGGCGAUGAUACAUAGCCGACCUGAGAGGGUGAUCGGCCACAUUGGGACUGAGACACGGCCCAAACUCCUACGGGAGGCAGCAGUAGGGAAUCUUCGGCAAUGGACGGAAGUCUGACCGAGCAACGCCGCGUGAGUGAAGAAGGUUUUCGGAUCGUAAAACUCUGUUGGUAGAGAAGAACGUUGGUGAGAGUGGAAAGCGCAUCAAGUGACGGUAACUACCCAGAAAGGGACGGCUAACUACGU